AGAAACAAAGAAGAAACGUGGGGGCUACCAGUAUCAGCCAGGUCCUUGGUGCUAUCACAGCCCCACAAUAGCCAUCGCUCCCUGCAGCUUUCGCAGUGGAGGCCCCUCAGUGUUUGUUGGCAUGGACACCAGCACACACUGGCCACUUUCACCACUGAGGUCCAGCCUGGGACUAGGGUUUCCACUCAUCCCAGUCCCAUGCUCCAGACCCCAGUUCUGAGACUGAGUACCUGCACUGCGAAGGCCAGAACCACUACUGCAGUUUUAAGUUCCUUUAUAUCUCCUUUUUCUGUUGGGGUGAGUGGCAUUUGGGAAGGCAUAAGAACCCAUUCUUUUUCCAUUGAGCAAGCUACAUGGUAUUUUUGGAUGUAAAAGCAGAGGAUUAGACAAAAUU
rnacentral:lncRNA from 10 species